AGGGCUAACUAGCCAAACCCUCAGAACACCAUCAAAGAAGGCACAAGAUGCCGCAGGCACAUGCUGCUCCUCAGAUCAAGAUGAGCUGAGUCUGCCACUCAUAAGACAAGCCGAGCACAAACUGCUUCUUAUGAUCCAAGCCGAAGAUGAGUAGUGGCUCACACAAUAAACAAAGCACUAGUUGCCUUUCGAGCAAAGUGGUCUUUGCUUUCUCCAAUUAUUCUUGAUCAGCCCUAGCACAUAAUGACUCGCUAAUUAGUUUGAGACACUACCUAGUCAAGACACCU
rnacentral:lncRNA from 1 species